ACACCCUCAACUGGCAAGGAGACACCUAGUUGGUGGUGUUCUUCUUAUGUGUGUCAGGGCCAGAGCAGAUGCCAGUCCUUUGUUUAUCCUAACUUGAUGCCUGGCUUGGUAGCCAAAGCUGUUUUAUGCCUUAGACUCAUAC